AGGGUGAGGAGGAACUAGUGAGAAGAGGCCAGAUAUGGGGUAAAUUUUCCAGGCAGGGGGAAAGCACAGUUGGGGACUUUACAGACAUACAAGCACACAGUAAACAAAUGUGGAUGCUGGCCAUGUCACAGAGGGCCACUGAGACUUGGCCCUAUAAGCAACAGCAUUUAAAGAGGUGGAGAGAUAUGAAUGGGGCUGCCUUUUUCAAGACCCACUCUGUGCUGUGGGAAGAAGGUGUAGAUGAGGGCGAAAGUGGAGGGAUGUAAAGCUGUAAGGAAAUGGAUAUGGCAGUCCGGGCAAGAGAUGUCAGAGGCUGGGCCUUGAGUGGCAUCAAUGGAAAUAGAGAGCAGUGGUCAUCCUCACUCUGGUGUCAAGGUUUAUAGCUCAUCUAUACAUACCUCCUGCACUUGACGCCAUCAACCGCUGGUAAGAAGAGAUAACUGAGAAGAUUAUAAAUUCACUCGACACCAGCACGAUCCACCAGCAGGGGAAGGAGCUGUCACUUGUUACACGUGCGUUCUGUGCUCUACUCUAUACAAGAUGCCUCCUUUCUCCCGAACCUGUCAGGGUAAAAGAUGUUGAAAAAUGAAUAGAAGAAGAACCAGCAUCAGCCAGAGAUGGAUACAGUGUCUGAUGGGACCAGAGCCUUCCCUUUUGAGCAUAAAGGCAUCAAGAUGUUCUAAUGUAGUCACUGCUACUAAGGUCAGAAGAGACAGAGUUGAGCACCCAGCCUUGGAUGGCUCCUGGCAGUCUACCUGGGAAGUCACAGUUGAGCUGAAGUCUCUGGGGACACCAGCAAGUGCCUCUUGGGUCUUCUCUGUGAGAUGUGAUUUCAAGGGGCAUCACUACUACUGUGAGACAUCAGGACUCAUAGAGGAAAAAAGAUCCAUUCCUAGGACUAUGAAGAUGAAAGCCAAGUGCCAAGCUCUACUAGCAUUUCCUUAA
rnacentral:lncRNA from 12 species